GCAUUCGUGGUUCAGUGGUAGAAUUCUCACCUUGCAUGUGGGAGACCUAGGUUCGAUUCCCGGCCAGUGCA
rnacentral:tRNA from 1 species